UAGAGGAAGUAAAAGUCGUAACAAGGUCUCCGUUGGUGAACCAGCGGAGGGAUCAUUACUGAGUUUACGCUCUACAACCCUUUGUGAACAUACCUAUAACUGUUGCUUCGGCGGGUAGGGUCCCCGUGACCCUCCCGGCCUCCCGCCCCCGGGCGGGUCGGCGCCCGCCGGAGGAUAACCAAACUCUGAUUUAACGACGUUUCUUCUGAGUGGUACAAGCAAAUAAUCAAAACUUUUAACAACGGAUCUCUUGGUUCUGGCAUCGAUGAAGAACGCAGCGAAAUGCGAUAAGUAAUGUGAAUUGCAGAAUUCAGUGAAUCAUCGAAUCUUUGAACGCACAUUGCGCCCGCCAGCAUUCUGGCGGGCAUGCCUGUUCGAGCGUCAUUUCAACCCUCAAGCUCUGCUUGGUGUUGGGGCCCUACAGCUGAUGUAGGCCCUCAAAGGUAGUGGCGGACCCUCCCGGAGCCUCCUUUGCGUAGUAACUUUACGUCUCGCACUGGGAUCCGGAGGGACUCUUGCCGUAAAACCCCCCAAUUUUCCAAAGGUUGACCUCGGAUCAGGUAGGAAUACCCGCUGAACUUAAGCAUAUCAAUA
rnacentral:rRNA from 1 species